rnacentral:rRNA from 1 species
UACGUAGGGUGCUAGCGUUGUUCGGAAUCAUUGGGCGUAAAGCGCGUGUAGGUGGUUAUCUAAGUCAGAUGUGAAAUCCCUAGGCUCAACCAAGGAAGUGCAUUUGAAACUAGUUAACUAGAAGAUGGUAGAGGAAGGUGGAAUUCCAGGUGUAGAGGUGAAAUUCGUAGAUGUCUGGAGGAAUACCGGUGGCGAAGGCGGCCUUCUGGACCAUCCUUGACACUAAGACGCGAAAGCGUGGGUAGCAAACAGG